rnacentral:rRNA from 1 species
AUUGAACGCUGGCGGCAUGCCUUACACAUGCAAGUCGAACGGCAGCACGGGAGCAAUCCUGGUGGCGAGUGGCGAACGGGUGAGUAAUACAUCGGAACGUGCCCAAUCGUGGGGGAUAACGCAGCGAAAGCUGUGCUAAUACCGCAUACGAUCUACGGAUGAAAGCAGGGGAUCGCAAGACCUUGCGCGAAUGGAGCGGCCGAUGGCAGAUUAGGUAGUUGGUGAGGUAAAGGCUCACCAAGCCGUCGAUCUGUAGCUGGUCUGAGGGGACGACCAGCCACACUGGGACUGAGACACGGCCCAGACUCCUACGGGAGGCAGCAGUGGGGAAUUUUGGACAAUGGGCGAAAGCCUGAUCCAGCCAUGCCGCGUGCAGGAUGAAGGCCUUCGGGUUGUAAACUGCUUUUGUACGGAACGAAACGGCCUUUUCUAAUAAAGAGGGCUAAUGACGGUACCGUAAGAAUAAGCACCGGCUAACUACGUGCCAGCAGCCGCGGUAAUACGUAGGGUGCAAGCGUUAAUCGGAAUUACUGGGCGUAAAGCGUGCGCAGGCGGUUAUGUAAGACAGUUGUGAAAUCCCCGGGCUCAACCUGGGAACUGCAUCUGUGACUGCAUAGCUAGAGUACGGUAGAGGGGGAUGGAAUUCCGCGUGUAGCAGUGAAAAUGCGUAGAUAUGCGGAGGAACACCGAUGGCGAAGGCAAUCCCCUGGACCUGUACUGACGCUCAUGCACGAAAGCGUGGGGAACAAACAGG